CCCUUAGAUGUUCUGGGCCGCACGCGCGCUACACUGUUCGACGCAGCGAGUCUUAACCUUGACCGAAAGGUUUGGGUAAUCUUCAGCAAAGUCGAACGUGAUGGGGAUCGAUCAUUGCAAUUAUUGAUCGUGAACGAGGAAUUCCUAGUAAGUGCAAGUCAUCAGCUUGCGCUGAUUACGUCCCUGCCCUUUGUACACACCGCCCGUCGCUCCUACCGAUUGAAUGAUCCGAUGAAUACCAUGGAUUGAGAGUACGAAUAGGUUCGCUUAUUUCUGCUUCUCGAGAAGUGGAGUAAAUCUUAUCAUUUAGAGGAAGGAGAAGUCGUAACA
rnacentral:rRNA from 1 species